CAGCAAGUAGUUUAUAAUUAAAAUUUUAGUUUUGGAUAUUAAAGAAAUUUAUUUUUUGCUGA
rnacentral:tRNA from 1 species